GACUUCCUGCUCAUCUGCCGCUCCCUUUGCCGCCGCCUUAGCCCGGGACCCGAACCCAGCCUCUCCCCUACCCGAACACCGGCCCCGGCUCCACCGAGGCCCGGGUCCCCCAGCCCGUCUCGCCGCCGCCAUGGCGGACCCUAAAUACGCCGACCUUCCCGGCAUUGCCAGGAAUGAGCCAGAUGUUUAUGAAACUAGCGACCUACCUGAGGAUGAUCAAGCGGAGUUCGAUGCGUAGAGACGGGGUUUCAUGUGUUAGCCAGGAUGGUCUCGAUCUCCUGACCUCGUGAUCCGCCUGUCUUGGCCUCCCAAAGUGCUGGGAUUACAGACGUGAGCCACCAUGCCCAGCCUCAGUCACCUUCUUAACCCCUGACAACAGCAUUCUCCGCCUUAAUCUUCAGUUUAUUUUCAACUUUAAUUUUAUCAGUUUUUAAAGUAGGUAAUGUAUGCACAGGGAACAGAGGAUUCAAG
rnacentral:lncRNA from 1 species